AUGUCCCUGAGGGCCACGUCUCACGGGGACCUCCAGACCCUGUCACUGGGGAAGGCUCCAGUGCUGGAUGGAGGACUGUACAAGUCCUUCUCACUGAGCAGCAGCAACAUGAACGGCAGGUUUGGGAAGGAGGAGAUCAAGGAGAUCAAGGGCAUGUCGAGGCCGGCGCUCCCCGCUCGCAGGCCCAUUCGGGUGGUCAGGCCGGUGAGCGCCAAUGGAAGCUUCCUUCACAUCAACCACCUGCAAGGGGAGUUGGUGAGGAAGAGGAAGGAAUGCGAGGAUCUGAAGAAGGAGAAUAAGUGCCUGUCCAAUGAGAUCCACAUGGAGCGGAUCAUGAUGCGAACUGAGAGUGAACUGACCAUGAGGAACCUGAGGAACCUCAACCAGGAACUGCAGGCCCAGGUCAAAGAGCUGAAGCAGAAGCUCCAUGUGAGCCAGCAGAGGGCGACACUGUGCUCACGGGCAGCUGAGGAGGCAGAGGUGAUGAGGAGCGAUGCGGAGAAGAGCCGGGUGUUGGCAGAAGCGCGAGAGCUGGACAGCAGGCAGGAGAAAGAGCUGCUGCAGGUGGAAAAGGCCCAGCUGAGCGAGGACCUGCACCGGCUGAAGAAAGAGAACUCGGACAUACAGCUCCUGCUGGCAAAAACCGAGAAGAACUAUUUCGAAAGCAAGCUGAAGCUGGACAGGGUGUCCUCGGAGAAGCAGGCCCUUCUGGACGAGAACAGGGGGCUGGAGGGCGAGAGGACCAGCCUGAGGCACAGGCUGAAGGAGCUGAUGGAGGACAACGCCAGGCUCCGAGACAAAGAGGCGAGCUGCAGACGGAGGGCAGUGGCUGCUGAGGAGCAGAGAGAGACGGCUGCUAAAGCCCAGGAGGAGGCCGAGGCGAAGAGGAAGCUGGCGGAACGGGAGAGGCAGGAGAGCACCGCAGAGUGCCUGACCUGGAGGGAGAAGCACCAAGGCCUGGCUGAAAUAUUUAGGGCUCAGGAGGACCUCAAGUUCCAGAGGCAAAACAAAGCAUGCCAAGCCAAUAUUAAGAGCUACUUCUUGUGCAUGACUGAAAGUGAUCAGAGAGUGAAAAUUUUGAAAAAUCAAGAUGGAACACCACGUAACUUCACGGAGGGGGACCCUAUUUAUGUCAGCACCUCAGACACAGGCAGUGAAGACCCGGAGAGGAGCUUUUCAAGAACCAUGUUCAGAAUGGCAACGCCUCGUGCUGGAAGGGACCAGGGUCCUACACAUUUCAGUGAACUUUCACCAAUGGGAAGAGAUUCUCCAGACUCUGGUCCAUGUAGGAGAAGCAGGAAAGUGGUGGAAUAUUUUUGGAUCCCCACAGACGAGGA
rnacentral:lncRNA from 1 species